UACGUAGGGUGCAAGCGUUGUCCGGAAUUAUUGGGCGUAAAGAGCUCGUAGGCGGCUUGUCGCGUCGAAUGUGAAAUCUCAGGGCUCAACUCUGACAUUGCAUUCGAUACGGGCAGGCUAGAGUUCGGUAGGGGAGACUGGAAUUCCUGGUGUAGCGGUGAAAUGCGCAGAUAUCAGGAGGAACACCGGUGGCGAAGGCGGGUCUCUGGGCCGAUACUGACGCUGAGGAGCGGAAGCGUGGGGAGCGAACAGG
rnacentral:rRNA from 1 species